rnacentral:lncRNA from 1 species
UGAUUGUGUUGUGGGCGAGGAGGCGUUUCCACCCCCUGGUGCCUAUCAGGGCAGGGUGACCUACUCCCCAUUGUUCUGGAAAUCUCCAGGCUGCUGGGCAGCUGGGCAGAGCUCUGGGAAGUGAAGUCAUGAGUGCCCGAUUCCUCUUAGAGAAAAUCCAUAGCUACUGUAGCCUUCAGAUCUUGGUGUUUUGAAUUCUUACUAUAGAUGUUUUUAAAGUUCCAAAGUCAUUGAGUUUCAAUGUUACAUAAACUCCAUUACCCGCAUGUUGGGGCUUGAUCUCCUGGUUAUUAUCUGUGCUUGAGGAAACACCCACAGCAGUCUCUACCCAGAACAGUUUCCUAAAGAGGCAUACCCUCUUCCUCCACUGGAAAAUAGUGCGUUCCCUUCCUACCCUGCACACCCAUCGCCCCCACAUUGAUGGUUUUCAAACAGCAAACUUUUCAGCUAAAGCUUCAAACCAUGAUUGGAAUCAGCCUGUGUUGGAUUUGUGAUUCAGGGUCAUGGUGACCCUGAUCCAGUUUGGGUGGAAAUCCUUCCUAAGUAUCAUAAGAAGCAUCUUGGCAGAGAUGCUUUGGUGGCAGCCAUGAGCUUUGCUGGAGGCCUUGCUUCCCAUAGCCUUGGCUGUGGGGCAAGGAACUCUGCCAGGCGAGGGGGAUGCUGCCCUGGAUCAACAGAAGCCUGGUGGGUUUGCUCGUGUUAGAGUGUCCUGCCUUCUUACUGACAACUCUUCUCGGUGAUAGCCUCUCUUCCCUGGAUUGUGACAUAUGGAAUGACAGUGCAGGUACCACCGAGGCUAGCACAGUCAAGCCUCCAGCUAAGCUGGAUCCCUGAAGCCUGCUAUCAUGCAGACAGGCUAUGCGGCUGCCUCGGACCAUGCUAGGCCACUUGCUGGGGUGUCAACCUACCACCAAAGGGGUCUUUUAGCAAACCUCAUGGGGAACAGGAACAU